AUGGAGGCAGUAUAGAGAGUGACGAAAUAGGGCGGCGUUGGCUCAAGCGGUAGCACGCGCGCCUGAGAUCUCAGGAGCGCCGGAUCGAUUCUCGGUCCCAGCGUCUGCUUUUGUGAUUUUCCCCUCUCACGUGAAGUCUCACCCCGUUACAUGGUCAAUGUAACGGGGUGUAAAUUCGAUCAACGAAUAACUCGUUAAACGACUGGAUCGCGUUCCCUCGAUGCGGCGGAGAACUCCUAUCUACUCCUGUCUACGCGCCUGACGCGUGCUCGGCUGCUCAACUGCGUUAAAUAAGUAUUAAUAAAUAAUGCCCGCGGAGAAGGCGGUAUUCGCAGGAAGGAACAGGAUUAGGAAGUAAGCGAACGAGGUUUAAAAAUGACGACAAAUCACGUAAAAUAAUAAGACUAGGGUUAUAUUUACUAGUCGCGAAAUAAACGUGAAGUUACAAUCAUGAAAUAAUAAUACGCGAGUCGCCAACAACUUUGCGACUCGCCGCAACGCCAUAAUAAUUGCGCUCGUACGCGUGUAUCGUCGUGAAGGUCGCGCGCGCCGGAUCACCCUCGCAUGGGUGAUACACACUCACACAUGCACUCUCUCCCAUGCACUGCGCGCCACACAAACCUUCUCUCUCUCUCUCUCUCUCUCUCGUCGACGACGUUCCUAACCAUGGACAGGCCGCAAGACUUGGUCACUGCGCUGGACCGCUAGGCAAGAUCAGGAAUACCCGGACUCCGCGUCUCACUCACACACAAGUUAAUAUAUAGUUAUACAUUUGAAAGAAACGAACUUAGAAUCAUCUGAAUCAUCAAGCAGUGAUGAAAAUGCGCCGAAACCGCGGCCAAAACAAAGACGGUACAAUGCUGGAAUGAUUAAAAAUUACGAAACAGAUUACCGUUUGAAGUUGAAAGAUGCUCGUUCCAGAUAUAAGUGGGAUUCCUUCGGAAAAAACAAUGAAGAUACUUUAGUAACAGCUAAUAGCAGCACCAGCUACUCUUCAGCUGCAGUAAGUGGAAAUGAAACUAAUGAAAAUGUAGAGCAAUCAAUAAGUCAGAGAAUUGAAUCAGCUUUGACUGAAAGUGCAAAUAUUUGUGAAGAACAGAAUCAAAUAUCUCCUAAUGAUAUUAAAUAUACAGAUGCAGUUAGAAACAAUGACAUGGAAAAUGAAUCAACUUAUGACAUUGAAGAGCGCUAUAGUGACGAUGAUGCAAUUAGUGAUUUAUUUUCAAAUGAUAUCCGAGAUACUGAUGAUUUCUCAUUUCGAACUACUGAUACUGACGAUAGUGAGGCAAAUGAAUUCGAUUAUGAAGAUCAGCAGUUCAACGAUCGUAAAAUAAUGUUUGAAACUUCGAAAUUGACUAUAAAUGAUGUAAUGACGUUAGUUAUGGCUUUUUCAAUAAGAUUCAAGAUAUCAGACGUAGGAAGAUCGGAAUUAAUAAAUAUGAUUAAAUUAUUUGCUGGACCACAAGUUAAUGAUAUAAAUAUUUCUAAGUAUAGAUUUCAACAAAAAUUUGAUCCACCAAAUGAAACAUAAGUAUGAUUCAUUAUUACUGUAUGAGUUGUAAGCAACAAAUUCUAUACUAUACCAAAUUAAAAGAGCGAUUUAGGAAACAAAAAAAUACGUGUGCUAUAUGUAACGCUCAAUGUGAAAUAACAACGAAAUCGAAGAAUUAUUUCAUGUCUGUCGAUUUGAAGUAUCAACUGAAAAUGAUGUUUGAUUCCGUAGAAAUUAAAAAAGAAAUAUUUGAUUUUAUUAAUAAGAUGGAUAAUAGAAACAAUGAUGAGAUCGCUAUUAGAGAUAUUUAUGAUAGUGAAUUGUAUAAAGAAAUAAAUAGUGAUACAAAUAUGAAGUACAUAACUUAUAACCUUAGUACUGAUGGGGCGCCUUUGACUAAAAGUGGCAAAAGAGGUUUCUGGCUUCUUCAAAUAAUUCUCAACUGUUUACCUCCAAAAAGACUACAAACCAAGACAAUGAAGCGAAAAAAGCAAAGCCCAAGCACAAGGAAGCGAUGCUUCUGGAACAAGAGUUGAAGAAAGCGAUGCUUUCAAUACAACUAACGUCACUGAGCGCAUUUUAAGAAAGAAGACUAGCAAGGAAAAUCGUGCCCUAAAAUCAGCCUUAUUGGUAGAGAAUGAAAAGAAUGGUACGACGAGGUCGCUGACAGAAUUGAGCAAAAUGACAACAAUGGUCAAAAAACUGAUCAAUUUGAGGAUAACGAGAAUGAUCACCUGGAUAAGGAAAAUGUAAUUUUCACAGAAAAAGCGGACACUCUUAGCAUCUCUCUGCCAUAAGGUCGUAAGAUGCCUAUACUGUUUUUAGCAAAUAAAAUGGAUUUACCUGACUCUUUAACAACUGUGAAACUUGUAUCAGGACUAGGUUUAGAUAAGAUUCAAAAUAAACCAUGGCAUGUACGAACAACAAAUGCUAUCACUGGUGAAGGCCUACAAGCUGCUAUUGAAUGGUUUACAGAUCAAAUACGAGAUAUACAUAUAAAUAAAAGAUAGCAACCACAAAAGUGCAUAAAAUUAUUUAAAAAAUAUAAUUUAUUUUACAAGCCACUAAUGAGUUAUUCGCUCGCAUAACUUCAUUUUAAGUAAUUUAUAUUUCCUAUGUACUAUUUUGUUAAAAUAUAAAGUUUGUUAUGGCAGCCCUGGUAGAAACGAAAUCUUUUGUCGUUAUACUUAAAUCAAAGGAUUUAAAUUCAGCCACAAAGUAGUAUAUUGUGUAGCAAGGGCGCAAAGUGGGUCACCUUUAUACCCUUGGCAUAUGAAAGAAGAAUAAAAAAUUUUUAAUUUAAACAAA